rnacentral:rRNA from 1 species
UACAGAGGGGGCAAGCGUUGUUCGGAAUUACUGGGCGUAAAGGGCGCGUAGGCGGCCAACUAAGUCGGACGUGAAAUCCCCAGGCUCAACCUGGGAACUGCGUCUGAUACUGGAUGGCUUGAAUCCGGGAGAGGGAUGCAGAAUUCCAGGUGUAGCGGUGAAAUGCGUAGAUAUCUGGAGGAAUACCGGUGGCGAAGGCGGCAUCCUGGACCGGCAUUGACGCUGAGGAGCGAAAGCCAGGGGAGCAAACGGG